GUUGCCAACACAAUAUAUACGAUAAACGUCAAACGCUUUCUUUCUUUAUAAUCAGCCUGGCUUCGAUUUGGAUGAAACUCUGUACGCCAAAAAGUAUAUACAUAUUCCUUUUCCAGCUGCGAUAACUCAAGUGUAAGAGGUGGGUUAUCAUGCUGCAAAAUUUGACACGUUAAGAACUAAUUCAGGAUUGGUUACUGGUAGAAAAUAAUUGCACAAAAAUGAAAUACUUUUUAAAGUGCUACUAACUGCAGUCAAUGAACAGGUUUCAAAGAUAUAUAAAAGAAUUUCGUCGACCAUGUUCAUUUGAAAGAGUACAAUGAGCCAAUGUACGUUAAGUCGUUCCAUUCUCUGUCCUUCCUCUCCUUCUCUCUGAUUUCGGUUCCCUUUUUUUGCCUCCUCUUUUUUCUUUUUUCUUUUUAUCUUGCCCUCCCUUCACCAUAUUUGUCGGCCGUCGAAUUCCACGCCGCACCGGUGGAAACGAACGCAGAACAAUAUUUCUCGGUGGUGGCGCGUCGGCUGCCGAUAAAUACGGACUUCGCGCGUACAGCGAAGAGCACCCUACCGGUUUUGCGGUAUCUCGAACGGCUUAAUGGCACUGUUAACUACCGUAUUAUUUAACGGGGAUUUAUACAUUGCAGUCGGCCGAUUAAAACGGCGGGCGGACCGGCAUCGAGGCCUGGUCUACUGCGAAACGAUAUAGGAAGAUCCUGUAACGGACACCGCAGGGGAUCGAGUGUAUCCUUAAUUCCCCGUGAAAGCCAGUGCUGAUCGAAGCGGACGUUUCUAGUGUCCGUCGUUGCUCAUAUAAAAACAGAAAGUAUUAGAUUAUACCGUAUUAGAUCGUACGUAGACUGUCAUUUCAAAUAACAGUUUCGAUAUAUCAAGGUUUUCUAUCGUAUCAGGGAAACAAUCCCAAAAAUGAUAUUCCGAGAUGUUCGAAGAAAUAGCUUUAGUUUUAGUAAAUCGUCAACGCUAUUAACUGUAUACUUCUUUUAUCAAUAAGUAUUUGCCCGCUAUAUAGUUUGCGAAGAGACUAUUAACAAUUAUCGAAACAAAGUAUCAAAGUGAGAAUAAAAUUGCGUAACCAGCACCGUUAUCGUAAUUUAUAUCUAUCGUUUCACUUUCCCAGCGCAGAAAACCAAAUCUUUAUCUCCGUCAGCCACAAAUCACCGAUAGCGUCGUAACCAAAGACUCUAAAUCUCCUGCGCCAUUGGAAUCGCAAUUUCUUCAGCUACCACUACAUCAGCCAUUAGAAUUCCCGCAACACAUCAAAUAGCAAAUGGAAGGCUGUCAGCCGAAAGCAAGGUAAAUUUUCAGCCAAGUACCACGGAACAUCGCGAGGAACGUUCGCGAGCGGAAACAAUUCCGAGGUCGCGAGGUAACACCUCGACUGGAUGUGCAAGGAGGUCUCGAAGGUGAGACGAAGACGUAGAAACAGACUUGGUGCGUCAUCCACGUCACGAUCGCUGCCAAUGGGAUCUCGGAUCCAGCAGGGCGAUGCUAUUGAGUAUUUGCAUCUCUUGCCUUUCGCGGCGAAUGCGAGAGGAAGCUCGCGUUCGUGAGCCGGUGCGACGAGAACGAUGGGAAAUCCGGUUGCUGGCAUAUAGGUAUGCUCACAGAUGGCCGGGUGCGACGAAGACCGUGACAGUAUAUAGGUGAAAACGACGGUGCUGGCUACCAGAAUGGGACAGAGAGCGAGUAUACAGAGAAUAGGAAGAGGAAGAGAGAGUAAGAGGCAAACGAGGGAAACGGAGCAUGGUCGAUGUGUCUAGCCUAGCCUGGUUGGCUGGCUGGCUGGCUGGUUGGUUGGCUGGUUCGGGUGGCUGGAUGAACCAGGGACCGUCUAGGUUGCGUCUGCCCCCGCACAAACUCGGUAUUAUCUAUACGUCUAGACACCCCUGCGCCACCGAGAGAAGACCAUAGCGGUUUGGCGCUCCGCUUGUAAUUUACAGCGCGCCCCGCCGUGUCUCUACAUCUACGAUCCCGCAAAUUUCUCUCUUCGGUCGUGUCUCUUUACCUGUCUUUCUUUCUUCUCUUUUCUUUACAUUUCCUCUCGCUUGACCUUUGCACUCUCCUAGCGUGCACCUGGAUACCUCGAUCCCAUCGGAUCGUACCGAUAAUCGCUCUCCGAGCAGAUGGUAAAGCAUUCGAUCAUAUCGGGAUCGUAUCGGGCUGUUCAAGAAAUUCUUAAUAUUUUUAGUAUAAAUUUCUAUCGAAUAAUGAAACGUUCGAAUAAAUACUACCUCGAAGACGACUAACACGAAACAUUUAACAUUCGUUCAUAAAAUAGAUCUCUUUGUACUCGUUAAUAUUUAUCGUAAUCUUUUAUUACGAACUUACUCGAAAGAGAAAUCCGAGAAAUUAAAUAGUCUAGAAGCCCGUAAGAUCUAUUCGAAGGAGUUCGUUAUUAAAAGGAGCGAAACAUUGUUCGAGAAAAAACCUGUGGAGUUAAGAAUUGAUCGCUAUACGUUCCAUUCCAUUUCUGCUGAUAGUCUGAUGAUUCCAUUUAAAUAUUUUCUAAUUCUCAUUACCAAUUCUCCGCACAAUCUCAUGUACGUUUAUGUACUUGCACGUUUAUGUGUAUAAGCAUCAAUGACAGUCGAAAAUUGAUAGCCAUGUAAAUUACAAAUUCUAAAUCGUCCAAUCUAAAAGAAAAAGACAUCUGGAAAAAUAUUCGAUUGAUAAGAGAAAUGCAAGAACGAUAAGAGUAACGUGUUAUAAGGACUUCGAGCGAUGGACACGCGAAUCGCUACGGGAAUUCCUCUCUCGGACUGCCGAUGGAGCUCGCGUGCGCGAUGCCGCCACUUCAGACAUCACCGGCGUACGAGUGAUCGAGGGGAUCACGGCCACGUGAAAAGGGAAGCAGCCGUCAAUUGGUAUACACGGUGUACACACGAGACGUGCGUGAAGAGAGUGCGAAUAUUGGUAUCGCGAUAACGAACGGGAAACCCUCGCGUGUCCGAAAGUACGAGCCACCCCAGCCAGUGCACGUUAUCCACGGAACACGCGUGCAUUAUAUCGACGAUCUCUCGGUGAUUAAUGCCAGCUGUUAGUACCAGGAGGCUCCAGUCAAUUGAAUCUCAUCGUUCGGCCGCAUAUAAGCCUCGCUCGGUUGCCUUUAUCCGUCUCUCUCUCUCUCUCUCUCUCACUCACACCCUCUCUGUAACACACGAACCAACUAUCCCGGUUUUCGAAGAAGAGUUGCAACGUCGACGCGUAAAUAAUAAAUCCUAUGGAAUCGCCUUACCGUGUCGGGAAGAAGAGAAGAGGAGAGGAGAGGCGCUGUUCAUUUCUCGAGGCUGCAGGUAACGGAAAGAAUAAAGUUUUCCUGGUGGACCCGUGGAUAGUAAAGUCCCUGGCAAGUCCGUGGCACGUUAAACUUUCCAGUUUCGAGAACGCAAUUUUCCCAAGGGAAUCAGUCCUCGCUAAUGCAAGAGUGGUUAUAGACGGAGAAAGAGAGGAAGGGAUAGAGAGAAAACAGGUAUAAAGGGGGACGAUAUUAUGGGAGAGGGAAACUGUGCGCGGGCGGGAAUGGCGACGAGGAGUUUGAGGGUUGAACGAGCUGACGCUUUAAGCGAUUAAGGAAAUUAUGCUACGAGAUAAGUUAUCUCGGCGCAACUGGUCCAGAAAGUAUGAACACCUGUCGGGUGAAUUUUUUAAGAAGGUACCACAAACCAGCUGGAAGAAAACGCAUAGUGCAGUAUCGGCGAUGCGCACCACACGAAUUUUAAUGUUCCCCGGUGUCACUGACCGUAGGUGCUGGCCGAAGAAUGCAGAAAGGAGGGAUUUCCGGCGGACACUUUCCAACACAAACCACCGGAAGAUGCGAUUAAGCGUUCACCAAUUCUUCUGAAACCAUCGCCGUCCAUUCCCAGAACGGCAUCCGGUCACUGGUAUAUCUCGCCGAAACGAACGAUAGAACCACCCAUUGAACCUAGUGAAUUUCGCGUCAUGCAGCAAAGAUUCAUUUUUCUCGGUUAAGUGGAGAAUUCGAGUAAAUUAUGGAAUAUAUAUUUCAUACACCAGAG